UUUCGGGCGGACUGAUUUUCCCAGCUUGGAGUUCUUCAACAGCUGUUCUUCUGAAAAUCACACAAUAAAUUUGUUUAAAGGGGGUAAACAAAUUUACUUAACUCUCUCGCUAUUUAGUGACCAAAGAUUCAAUGAAAAGAAGAACAAGGUUGCUUAGAGACAAAGUUAGGGUUUUGCCCAAGAACAAUGAAGAAAACUAGGGUUUUUAGUAUUAAAUUUCGGAUCCUUAGAAUAGAGGACAAACCCCUCUAUUUAUACACUAUUAAGACGGUUAAAAGAGUUGUUAAACUUUUAUUUCUUCGAGGAUUGAAUCUUCUAAUUUCCUUUAUCUCCAAAGACUUCCUAUUUUCAAAGGAGAAAACUUCUUUUUCUUCGAAUUAGGAAGUCGGCUAGACGGUCUCCCUACUUCGGGCUAAAGUCGGCAAAUGACCUCCUUAUUUUGGCCCAUUAACAGGCUAAACCGGGAUACCCUGGUUUGAUUGAAAUCUCAGUCUAAUUCGUAGUUCCUCUGGUUUAAGCCGGUAUUGUCGGAGGUGCUAAUUCCGGCACCAACAAUUAGUCCCCCCCCAGUUCGGGAAAAUCCAAAUGCUAAACUCGAGUUUUUCCGAAUUAAAAGAAGUGAAUAUUCGGCUUAUACUUUAGGAAGAUGCGAAUUAAAAAUUGAUCCGUUGAACCUCCAAGAUACGUCAGUUUAGCUUGGCACGCGUCGACGAUAUAAAACAAGGCUAAGCUUGUGGGUUAGGUAGUCUGAUGGACCUCAUGAGUUGUUGAGGAGCUGUGGGAUGCUCUCCUAGAUGAUCUGAAUGCCUAGCAGAGAAAUGACCUGACUGAUGAGCCGAGCAGUGAGAUAGGUUACCAAAUGAUCUUGCUAACAAGCUGCAAGGCAAGCUAUCAGAUGAUCUGACGAGCGAUCUGGGAUAUAGGUUGCUAGAUGGUUUGUCUUGCGAUCUGCGAGAUAGCCGGGCAGAUGAGCUAA
rnacentral:sRNA from 1 species